GGCAGUGUAGCUCAGUGGCAAAGCCCUUGCAUAGUAUGUAAGUAUGUGAGAAGCCCUGGGUUCAAUCCCCAGGAUUGCAA
rnacentral:tRNA from 1 species